UACGUAGGUGGCAAGCGUUGUCCGGAAUCAUUGGGCGUAAAGAGCGUGUAGGCGGCCAGAUAAGUCCGCUGUGAAAACUCGAGGCUCAACUUCGAGCUGUCGGUGGAAACUAUUUGGCUAGAGUCCGGAAGAGGAGAGUGGAAUUCCUGGUGUAGCGGUGAAAUGCGCAGAUAUCAGGAAGAACACCCGUGGCGAAGGCGGCUCUCUGGUACGGAACUGACGCUGAGACGCGAAAGCGUGGGGAGCGAACAGG
rnacentral:rRNA from 1 species